rnacentral:rRNA from 1 species
AUGGAGAACAGCGACAGGGCCAGGGUACAUUUAUGUUUCAUGAUCUGUUCUGUAGAUUUUCAGAACACUGAGUGCAUAUCUUGCCUUGCAAUGCUGCUGAUUCGACAAUUGAACUGGAUUCAAACUGGACUUGCGACCAGAGCAACCCCAAGCAAGAUGAACUUGAUUGGAAGAUGUCUUCUAAACUCUGAAGGCAAGCACUCGGUCGACACUUUUGCUCCUGUAGAAGGCAUGCCAUUUGAUUCAUGCCAAGAAGCGUUAAGAGGGACAAUGAUAAUUCUUCUUCGUGCAAAAUAG